rnacentral:rRNA from 1 species
AACGAACGCUGGCGGUAUGCCUAACACAUGUAAGUCGAACGAGACCUUCGGAACUAGUGGCGCAUGGGUGCGUAACGUGUGGGAACCUGCCGUUAGAUUCGGAAUUAUACUCCUUCAUGGGUGCUAAUAUCGGAUAAUGUACUCGGAUAACAGAUUGAACGCCCUUGUGUGGGCCCGCGUUGUUUUAGCCGGUUGGUAUGGUAAAAGCCUACGAAGGCGACGAUCCAUAGCUGGUCUGAGAGGCUGAGCAGCCACACUUGGACUAAGACACGGCGCAGACUCCUGCAGGAUGCAGCAGUGGGGAAUAUAGGAAUAUCGGCGAAAGCCUGAUCCAGCAAUGCCGCGUGAGUGAUGAAGGCCUUAGGGUUGUAAAGCACUUUUACACGGGAUGAUAAUGACAGUACCGAGAGAAUAAGCUCCGGCUAACUCCGUG